UCCCUGAUGGUCUCGUGGUCAGGAUUCGGCGCUCUCACUGCCGCACCCAGGGUUCGAUUCCCGGACAGGGAA
rnacentral:tRNA from 1 species